ACAUCAAGUAAGGGUUGGUGGUGGUGGAGGAGGAGGAGAACAUACGAAGGGUACUGUGGCGGCAUCUCUGGGGAAGAGUAAGAAGUAGACACAUAAGAAGGAGAAAAACGAAAGAGGUUAUACAAAAAGAACUAGAGAGAGGAUAGAUUUAAUUAAUUACCAGAGAAAGUUUGCGGAGAGAGGUCUUGGAAGAGAGGCGGAGAAGCAGAGAUGACAUAGCUAAUAGCUUCGCUUGGUUGCUCUGUGUGUUUCUUCUCUAAAGGGUUUUCGAGUUAGUCAAGAUCUAAUUAAGACCAAAGUGCUUGCCACAAGAAAAAGGAGAAGUAGGGUUCUCAAUUAUUACUAGAGAGAUGUCUCUUUCUCUUUAUUUUUUCCACGUUUCUCUCGUUUUUCUCCUUCUUAUGUGUCUACUUCUUACUCUUCCCCAGAGAUGCCGCCACAGUACCCUUCGUAUGUUCUCCUCCUCCUCCACCACCACCAACCCUUACUUGAUGU